UUCUUCAGUUAAACAAGGAAAAAACAGAUUUUUUUUGUGGCUGUGAAAGAGUGCAGCUGUAGUUGUAGUUUUCUCCUGCAGGUGGCACUCUCUACAUCAGCAGCUCUGUGUUCCAUGAGUCUCUGCUCCAGUCAACAGAAGAUCACAAUCCUCUCUUCAUUCACAUGUGAACUGACUAGAACUGAGUCAAACAUCAGCACACACUCAAUACACACAGCUGCAUGUAGACAUGAUUCUGCUUUACUCUCAAUAAAACUGUCCAAAGAAUUUCAUUAAUACAAUAAAGAUACUGUUUUAUGUGAUCUGCAAGAGAAUCUGUGAAGUCAUCUGCAUAACUAGUCAUUUUACUUCACUCAGAAACAAAUGCUGUCCACUUGUUGCUUCUAAAACAAGAUUUUUUGCACUUUCUUUAGAAAAUGUGCCUGAUACUUUUUCUUUCUUUCUCUUAGUUUCUCUUGUUUCAGAUGUAUUGUAGUGCAAACUAACAGCAUUUGUCUGCCCCCAUAAGAAGAAACUUCCUCUUUCCUCAGUGAAGCGGUCAGAGGUUUCCUCGUGUGUCAGUCCAGUGUGAGUCUCGCCGUGAAGACGCUUGUCUUGAUGAGAGCCAGAACACAGAUGAUCUGAAGCAUCGUCACACACUUCUACUGGGAUUGAGUUCUUCUGAAACUGGACUUUAGAGAAAUGAUGCUCACCUUUGGACUGAUGCUGCUGCUGCUGCAAACUGCUGCAUGUCUGGAUCAGUUCUGCAUGUUUGAUCAGUCUGAUCCCUGUUACGCAGCUCUGGGACACAAACUCAAACUGCUGAUGGUGCUGGACACUAGUGAAUAUGACCUGAAGAUAAUAAAGAGAAUAAACAACAACACAGCAGAUGAUCCAGUUUGUAGAGUAAAGUAUGGCAAGAUGAAGGAAUGUGAUCUUUAUAAUAACAGACCUGAAGUGACAGUCAUUAAUGGGACUCUGAUAAUAAACCGUGUGAUCAGAGCAGAUUCAGGGAAUUACAGAUUAACUCUCGAGAGCUCAGACGGCACAGAAACAUCUAGAGAUCUUCAAGUGAUUGUUGAAGGUACAGAAACUCUCUCAUCAGACUCAUUACAAUCUCAUGUUCUCCAAAGGAUUUUAUUGCAGCUCAUUAUUGAAAGUCUGCAAGAAUAUAAUCUAAUUAAUCUGCACUUUCCAUGUACUAAGACUAUUUUCAAAAUGAAAUACCAGCAUGUUGCUUACUGUAUACUAUUUUAAAAAGUAAUGUGAACGCAUGCUGCAUUUUUAUUUCAGUGAGUCCAGCUAUCAUAUCAGGUGUAAAUUUUAUUUAGAAAUGUCUUGAUAUUGAGUCAUGAGUUGAGUCUCCCUUCAGCUCCGCACAGAAGAGUUAGUCUCAAACCCUGCACUGGUGAGAUUUUAACUGAAUGUCCAGAUACUUUAUAUAACAACCACAGCAACACCAAUGAUGAAGAACAGUCAAGUUUCUUAAUUGGGCUCAUAAGGCAUAGUUCACCCAAAAAUUCUGUCAAGUACUCACCCUCAUGUCGUUCCAAACCCAUAAGGCCUUCAUUCAUCUUCAGAACACAAAUUGAGAUAUUUUUGAUGAAAACCAAGAGCUCUCUGACCCUGAAUAGACAGCAACACAACUGAAAUGUUCCCAAGUCAAGAAACGUAGCAAGGAGAUCUGUAAAAUAAUCCAUGUGACAUCAGGGGUUCAACCGUAACUUUACGAAGCUACAAGAAUACCUUUUGUGUGGAAAACAAAACAAAACAAAACAAAAAACUUUAUUCAACAAUUCGUCUCCUCUGUGACAUCCUGUAGCACCAUUUUGGAGAGUAUGAAAACAUGGAAGUGUGGGUUUUGUUUUGUGUCUAAUUCUUGUUGUUCAGUGUGUUCAGUGUCUGUG
ensembl:lncRNA